CUCCAGACUCCUACGGGAGGCAGCAGUGGGGGAUAUUGCACAAUGGGGGGAACCCUGAUGCAGCGACGCCGCGUGGGUGAAGGAGCGUUUCGGCGCGUAAAGCCCUAUCGGCAGGGAAGAAGGAGGACGGUACCUGACUAAGAAGCCCCGGCUAACUACGUGCCAGCAGCCGCGGGAAUACGUAGGGGGCAAGCGUUAUCCGGAUUUACUGGGUGUAAAGGGAGCGUAGACGGCGAUGCAAGUCUGAAGUGAAAGGCGGGGGCCCAACCCCCGGACUGCUCUUGGAACUGCGCGGCUGGAGUGCAGGAGGGGCAGGCGGAAUUCCUGGUGUAGCGGUGAAAUGCGUAGAUAUCAGGAGGAACACCGGUGGCGAAGGCGGCCUGCUGGACUGCGACUGACGUUGAGGCCCGAAAGUGUGGGGAGCAAACAGGAUUAGAUACCCGUGUA
rnacentral:rRNA from 1 species